CACGUAGUUAGCCGGCGCUUUUUCUGCAGGUACCGUCACUUUCGCUUCUUCCCUGCUAAAAGAGGUUUACAACCCGAAGGCCGUCGUCCCUCACGCGGCGUUGCUGCAUCAGGCUUGCGCCCAUUGUGCAAUAUUCCCCACUGCUGCCUCCCGUAGGAGUCUGGGCCGUGUCUCAGUCCCAGUGUGGCCGGUCACCCUCUCAGGCCGGCUACCCGUCGACGCCUUGGUGAGCCAUUACCUCACCAACAAGCUGAUAGGCCGCGAGCCCAUCCCCAACCGAAAUUCUUUCCAGACGCAGACCAUGCGGUCACGUCACAUAUCCAGUAUUAGACGCCGUUUCCAGCGCUUAUCCCAGAGUCAGGGGCAGGUUGCUCACGUGUUACUCACCCGUUCGCCACUGAUCCCACAGAGCAAGCUCCGUGUUCACCGUUCGACUUGCAUGUGUUAAGCACGCCGCCAGCGUUCAUCCUGAGCCAGGAUCAAACUC
rnacentral:rRNA from 1 species